UUUUCUUUUUUUUUUUGAGAUGGAGUCUCGCUCUGUCCCCCAGGAUGGAGUGCAGUGGCGCCAUCUCGGCUCACUGCAAACUCUGCCUCCCAGGUUCACGCCAUUCUCCUGCCUCAGCCUCCUGAGUAGCUGGGACUGCAGGCGCCCGCCACCACGCCCGGCUAAUUUUUUGUAUUUUUAAUAGAGAUGGGGGUUCACCGUCUUAGUAAGGAUGGUCUCGAUCUCCUGACCUAAUGAUCUGCCCGCCUCGGCCUCCCAAAGUGCUGGGAUUACCGGCAUGAGCCACCGCGCCCGGCCUAUCAUAUGAAUUUUGAGGGAACACAAACAUGCAGUCUGUAGCAGAUGGUAAUAGGCUGACAUAUUACACUUGUUGAUGUAAAUCUGAUAGGUUUCUUUCUCUCCAAGGACAGCUUUUUAAAUAUUUAACAGUAUCAAUAAUUUUUCAGGUUCUGUGAGAAUUUUAUAAUUUAUAAUUUGCAGACUUAACGUAUAAUCUAUUUUGUCCUAACAAUUACAAAUAUAUUUUUUAUUUCAGAUUGUAUAUAUUCCUACCAGAUGGAGAUAAUUACAGCUUUAAAAAUUUUUAUUUUUUCAUUUUAUUUCACACAUUGACAUUAAAUUUUUAUGGACACAUAAUAACUGUACAUAUAUAUGGGGUAGAAUGUGAUGUUUUAAUACAUGUACUCAAUGUGUAAUGAUCAAAUCAGGGUAAUUUGCAUAAUGAUUUUUCUGUAGGGAGAAAAUUCAAAAUCUACUCUUCUGGCUAUUUUCAAAUAUAUAAUAUGUUAUUGUUAACUAUACUCAUCCUACUAUGCAAUAGGACACCAGAACUUAUUCCUGGGUUCUACAUCCGUUAAGGCAACCAAGGAUUGGAAAUAUUGGAAAAAAAAA
rnacentral:lncRNA from 1 species